rnacentral:rRNA from 1 species
GGACUACAGGGGUAUCUAAUCCCGUUCGCUCCCCACGCCUUCGCGCCUCAGCGUCAGUACCGGCCCAGUGGGCCGCCUUCGCCACGGGUGUUCUUCCUGAUCUCUACGCAUUUCACCACUCCACCAGGAGUUCCACCCACCUCUACCGGCCUCAAGUCUGACGGUUCACGACGACCCUCCCGGGUUGAGCCCGGGGCUUUCACGUCGUGCCUGUCAGACCGCCUGCGCGCGCUUUACGCCCAGUCACUCCGGACAACGCUCGGACCCUACGUAUUACCGCGGCUGCUGGCAC